rnacentral:rRNA from 1 species
AAUGAACGCUGGCGGCAUACCUAAUACAUGCAAGUCGAACGAAAGCACAGUAAGCUUUUUCCUCUAAGGGUAGCGGCUGGCGGACGGGUGACACGUGCAUCAGAAUCCUCUAUUUCGUGGGGGAUUUCGGAGAGACACAUAUGCUACUAGAGAAUAUGUUCUACGGCUUGAAUCAGUGGUUCUACGCACCUUGCCCGAUACAAUGAGACGAUGUCGGAUUAGCUAGUUGGCGGGGUAAAGGCCCACCAAGGCGACGAUCCGUAGCUGGUCUGAGAGGAUGAUCAGCCACACUGGAACUGAGACACGGUCCAGACUCCUACGGGAGGCAGCAGUGGGGAAUAUUGGACAAUGGGCGCAAGCCUGAUCCAGCCAUACCGCGUGGGUGAAGAAGGCCUUCGGGUUGUAAAGCCCUUUUGUUGGGAAAGAAAAGCAGCAGGUUAAUACCCCGCUGUUCUGACGGUACCCAAAGAAUAAGCACCGGCUAACUUCGUG